GUCCGAUCUGCAUCUGAUCCCAGGAAGGCUUCUCUCCCCACCCAAAGGGGCGGGAAAGAGGAUUCCCUCUUGAUUUCCAGAAGGCUGUUCCUGGGACGGAAAUACAGGGAGCUGGGGGGCUGUUUGCACCCUCAGUCUCCUAUAGGUGACCCGGGAGAGCCAGGCUGGGCCCUCCCUCCCUUCCUGAGGACCUUCGUCCUCCUCCUUCUGAAAGGGAGGUGAGCUGGUGGAGAUGCUCCCAUAACAAGCUCCUCUGGAGCCCCGGAAUGCCCGCCCAGCCUCGGCCACCAAGCAGGUGGGGACAGGGAGAGGGAUGUUGAAACAGAAGGGGCACACUCCCUCCGUUCUCAACUCCCUUCAUUCAACCCACACAUAAUGAUGAGCCUCCACCGUCUGCUGAAACUAUCCCCGGGGCUGGGCGCAGAGAUCACAGCGAAUAAAACAGCAAAAUGUGUGUCUUGUGGAACUUACAGCCUGGUGGGACAGACAAGCACGAUUGAGACCUACAGUGGGAGAGAUGGCGAUAGUGCUAAGGCGAAGACAGAGGCAGGCGGCUGGAGAGCAGGGGCUGGAGGUGUGCAAUCCACCCGGAGUGAGGAAGGGGCCCCAGGAGCUCUGCUGAAGGAGGAGGACUGGGCAGCUCAGUGCAGGGAGAGGAGCAGCAGGUGCAAAGGCGAGAGCUUGCCUGGCCUUUUGAGGACCCGCAGAGGGCCCGCGAGGCUGGAACAGAGUGGGCAGAUUCCAGCAGUGACCCAGCCAUAGCUCUGGAGCCUCGGGGGCCUGGGAGGAAGUGGAACUUCCCCAAAGUCUGAAGAGCUGCUCUGUCCAACCCUGGAGGACCACGGCUUUCCUCCAAAGUCAAGACACUGGGUUUCGACACUCACUGCCUUUUGCAUGGAGCCAUUGUCCUUGAAAGGCGGGUGGGCAACCCCUGGGGUACAGAUGAGACCAACUGGGCCCUGGGCCCUGGACCCUUUGCUGUAGUGCUUGUACUUAGAUGAAUGUCUCCUCCAGCAGCAAAAUAGAAACGAUAAGGGACUAAUAAUAACAGUGUGUAUUCACCGUGGGGGAUGGCUGGGAAAUCCCACGGACAGCGGAGCCUGGUGGGCGGCAAUCUGUAAGGUCGCAGAGGCGGACACGGCUGAAAUGCAGGCUGAGCUGCAGCAGCAGCGUGAAGAAGACACCGACACAACUGCCGCUCCUGAGGGGCUGGGAGCAAAAACAGGAAGUCGGGGCAAGAGCAGGGCCUGUGCGUGCCCCCUGCACUUUGCACCACCAAGGGGUGGGCUGACCACUGAGCGACCCGUCCUGCCCACCCCCUGCACACACCUCGGCCUUCACCCUGCGUAGGGAACCAGCUCAUCCCUGCGUGGGGAGCGAUCGAACAAGGAUACUGGUUACUGUUCUCACUCCCCCAACUGCGGCCGGGGCCCCAGCAAAGCCUUGCCUGAAUUCCAGUCCAGCCUCAUAUCAAUUUCUAUUGAGUUAGGAGACCAAGAAAUCCGGUCGGUAAAUACUGACAAAUACUGAGAUGACACGGGAUGCCCACAGGCAGAUGCGGCCCGGCUGCUUCCUGGGAGCAGUCACUUGGGGCCCCUGCUUGGACGGGUCUGUGCCUGGUUAAAUGUUCUGCAGUCUGGAAAUUCUUAAUACCUUUUGAACAAGGGGCCCUGCAAUUUCCCUUUAUGCUGGACUCUGCUAAUUCUGUGACCAGUCCUGCCCGCCCCCAUUGGCUCUUGCUGCUUUUGCCAGAGGUGAAAACUGACAAUAAAAUGGGAAAUCUUCCCCGAGAGACUCACAA
ensembl:lncRNA